rnacentral:rRNA from 1 species
GACGAACGCUGGCGGCGUGCCUAAUACAUGCAAGUUGAGCGCUGAAGGUUGGUACUUGUACCAACUGGAUGAGCAGCGAACGGGUGAGUAACGCGUGGGGAAUCUGCCUUUGAGCGGGGGACAACAUUUGGAAACGAAUGCUAAUACCGCAUAAAAACUUUAAACACAAGUUUUAAGUUUGAAAGAUGCAAUUGCAUCACUCAAAGAUGAUCCCGCGUUGUAUUAGCUAGUUGGUGAGGUAAAGGCCCACCAAGGCGAUGAUACAUAGCCGACCUGAGAGGGGGAUCGGCCACAUUGGGACUGGGACACGGCCCAAACUCCUACGGGAGGCAGCAGUAGGGAAUCUUCGGCAAUGGACGAAAGUCUGACCGAGCAACGCCGCGUGAGUGAAGAAGGUUUUCGGAUCGUAAAACUCUGUUGGUAGAGAAGAACGUUGGUGAGAGUGGAAAGCUCAUCAAGUGACGGUAACUACCCAGAAAGGGACGGCUAACUACGUG